rnacentral:rRNA from 1 species
UACGAAGGGGGCUAGCGUUGCUCGGAAUGACUGGGCGUAAAGGGCGCGUAGGCGGAUGGCACAGUCAGAUGUGAAAUUCCCGGGCUUAACCUGGGGGCUGCAUUUGAUACGUGUUGUCUUGAGUUCGGAAGAGGGUCGUGGAAUUCCCAGUGUAGAGGUGAAAUUCGUAGAUAUUGGGAAGAACACCGGUGGCGAAGGCGGCGACCUGGCCUAAUACUGACACUGAGGCACGAAAGCGUGGGGAGCAAACAGG